GACGAACGCUGGCGGCGUGCUUAACACAUGCAAGUCGAACGGAAAGGCCCUGCUUUUGUGGGGUGCUCGAGUGGCGAACGGGUGAGUAACACGUGAGUAACCUGCCCUUGACUUUGGGAUAACUUCAGGAAACUGGGGCUAAUACCGGAUAGGAGCUCCUGCUGCAUGGUGGGGGAUGGAAAGUUUCGGCGGUUGGGGAUGGACUCGCGGCUUAUCAGCUUGUUGGUGGGGUAGUGGUUUACCAAGGCUUUGACGGGUAGCCGGCCUGAGAGGGUGACCGGCCACAUUGGGACUGAGAUACGGCCCAGACUCCUACGGGAGGCAGCAGUGGGGAAUAUUGCACAAUGGGCGGAAGCCUGAUGAAGCAACGCCGCGUGCGGGAUGACGGCCUUCGGGUUGUAAACCGCUUUCGCCUGUGACGAAGCGUGAGUGACGGUAAUGGGUAAAGAAGCACCGGCUAACUACGUG
rnacentral:rRNA from 1 species